rnacentral:rRNA from 1 species
GUGGGGAAUAUUGGACAAUGGGCGAAAGCCUGAUCCAGCCAUGCCGCGUGUGUGAAGAAGGUCUUCGGAUUGUAAAGCACUUUAAGUUGGGAGGAAGGGUAGUAACCUAAUACGUUGCUACUUUGACGUUACCGACAGAAUGAGCACCGGCUAACUUCGUGCCAGCAGCCGCGGUAAUACGAAGGGUGCAAGCGUUAAUCGGAAUUACUGGGCGUAAAGCGCGCGUAGGUGGUUCAGUAAGUUGGAAGUGAAAUCCCCGGGCUCAACCUGGGAACUGCUUUCAAAACUGCUGAGCUAGAGUACGGUAGAGGGUAGUGGAAUUUCCUGUGUAGCGGUGAAAUGCGUAGAUAUAGGAAGGAACACCAGUGGCGAAGGCGACUACCUGGACUGAUACUGACACUGAGGUGCGAAAGCGUGGGGAGCAAACAGGAUUAGAUACCCGGGUAGUCC